rnacentral:rRNA from 1 species
UACAGAGGUCCCGAGCGUUGUUCGGAUUCACUGGGCGUAAAGGGUGCGUAGGUGGCAUGUUAAGUUUGAUGUGAAAGCUCAGGGCUUAACCCUGAAAUGGCAUUGAAUACUAGCGUGCUGGAGGUUUGGAGGGGGGGACUGGAAUUCUCGGUGUAGCAGUGAAAUGCGUAGAGAUCAUGAGGAAGACCAGUGGCGAAGGCGGGUCUCUGGACAGUUCCUGACACUGAGGCACGAAGGCCAGGGGAGCAAACGGG